rnacentral:rRNA from 1 species
AUUGAACGCUGGCGGCAUGCCUUACACAUGCAAGUCGAACGGUAACGGGCCUUCGGGUGCCGACGAGUGGCGAACGGGUGAGUAAUACAUCGGAACGUGCCCGAUCGUGGGGGAUAACGAGGCGAAAGCUUUGCUAAUACCGCAUACGAUCUACGGAUGAAAGCAGGGGACCGCAAGGCCUUGCGCGGACGGAGCGGGCGAUGGCAGAUUAGGUAGUUGGUGGGAUAAAAGCUUACCAAGCCGACGAUCUGUAGCUGGUCUGAGAGGAUGAUCAGCCACACUGGGACUGAGACACGGCCCAGACUCCUACGGGAGGCAGCAGUGGGGAAUUUUGGACAAUGGGCGCAAGCCUGAUCCAGCCAUGCCGCGUGCAGGAUGAAGGCCUUCGGGUUGUAAACUGCUUUUGUACGGAACGAAAAGCCUUCUUUUAAUACAGGAGGGUCAUGACGGUACCGUAAGAAUAAGCACCGGCUAACUACGUG